CUAAAUGUACCUAUGAGUUGUAUGAGGAGUUUCGAAGGAUGAAUCCGUAUGUUGUCAAUAGGAGUGUUAUUGUAAGAGUUUAUGAACGUAUUAACUGCACAACCAUCACUAUUUGAAGAAAUCAAGGAGAAACAGUGUAACACCUCGAUUUUUGAAACAGUUUAUUAUCUAUUUUAUUAACUAUAUUAUAUAUUUUAGUUUAUUUAAUAAUUAAAUUCAUUUAUCUUUAGCAAUUAUUUUAUAAAUAAUUUAUUAUAUGCUUAUAGUGGGACAAGUUUAGUAAGUAAUUUAACUAAUAAUAGUAAUAAGAGGAAAUAUGUAAGAAGGGGGAAAAGGGAAAAAUAAAACAAGAAAAGAAAAGAAAAAGAAAAAAAAAAUAACAAACACAAAAGAAGAACGACAUUCAAAACGGUGUUCACCACCGUUCACCAUAUUCACCCUCUUCACCAUCUUCACCCUCUUCACCAUUUUCUUCUCUCAAAAUUCUUCCUUCAUCACACAAUCACCAUCGUUGCCAACGACACAACCACACCGCCACUAGAGGUGACACCAUAGAAGUAGGCGGCGCAAGGAAGAAAAGGGGGGUCGUUGUUGCUGUAAUUUGGAGCAUUUGGUGCUCGAAUUAGGGGCGUUUGCAAGUUAUUUCUUAUCCCCAAUCAUCUAUAUUAGUGGAUUCCGGUUUCAUUGAGGAGUCGUAUUGACUGAGCUAGUUGGUUUGAUAUAGUUUAAAAGGUACAUGAAGGCUUAGAGUCGGGGUAUGGGCGGAGAGCAACGUCCACUAGUUUUGCGUAAAUAUAAUUAUAAUAGUUCUGUUCUGGUGCAUUUCUUAUAUAUAUAAUCAAUAUUUUGAGACUUAGGGUUGUAAAUAUUAAUCCACCUAAAUCUGUAUUCGACUGGGUUGUAAUAGUUUAAAAUAAGCUUUAAUUUAGUUUUGGUGCAGGUAGUUCUUCCUUAGCGAUUAUUCUCGUAAUAAUCGUGGAAUAACACGUUUGGAUUUCGAGUAGUUAUACUGGAAUUUUGUUGGUA